rnacentral:rRNA from 1 species
UACGUAGGGUGCAAGCGUUGUCCGGAAUUAUUGGGCGUAAAGAGCUCGUAGGCGGUUCGUCGCGUCGGCUGUGAAAACCCGGAGCUCAACUCCGGGCCUGCAGUCGAUACGGGCGGACUUGAGUGUUGCAGGGGAGACUGGAAUUCCUGGUGUAGCGGUGAAAUGCGCAGAUAUCAGGAGGAACACCGGUGGCGAAGGCGGGUCUCUGGGCAAUUCCUGACGCUGAGGCGCGAAAGCGUGGGGAGCAAACGGG